GUUUGUCCCCUGGAAGCAAAGCGCUAGGGAGAGCUCUACUGGUCCAGAAGACACACCUGCUGUGAGGUCAUGGUGAACUCUUUGCGGUGUGCAGGACCAGACUCCUGUGUGACAGUGUACUCCGGCAAACGCCAGCCUUUCUGCACCACCAGCUCCUGAGCUCCAACAGGGUUACAUUCAGACUGCUGAGGGGUGCUGGAGGACUUCAUCUCUGGUUGAGGACUGCAUAGAUGACCAGACAACACAAAUGAAAAAGAUCAAUACAGGCAAAG